CCUUAGAACCCCUCCAGCCUUGCAGCCUGCCCAGAAAGCAGUCCUUUGGAGAGAGACACAGCAAGCAUAUACUCAUUCGUCUCCAGGGGCAAAGCAGAACAUCAAAUGAUAAUUUUUUAGAUAAAUCAUUCAAUAAAGACUUCACUUUCAUCUCAAGAAACCAGGGAGAAGAAAAAAGACUGGUGAAGCCCACCAUGCAGAUCUGAACUGAGAAGAUGGCUCCCUCUGAAAACUGCCUGUCCCAUUAGACAGCUAGAUUGGUGGUAUCUUCUGUGAUUGAUUAUCCAGUUCAAGGAAAUGGGAUGGCUGAUCAGCACUCAAAGCUGUUUACAAGGAACAUCAGACGAUCAUCAGGGCAAGGGGAAAUCAUAGUGAAGCCUGAAGAAAUCAGAAGAAACACCCCAUCCAUUUGGAAUGAUGUUGAUGAUCCCUACCCACCUGCCGGAGAAUGGAUUAGAUGAGUUCUGGAAAUCCUUUCUGGAUCUAUGAUUUC